UACGGAGGGUGCGAGCGUUGUCCGGAAUCACUGGGCGUACAGGGCGCGUAGGCGGUUGGAUAAGCCCUCCGUGAGAUCUCCAGGCUUAACCUGGAAAGUGCAGAGGGGACUGUUCAGCUAGAGGAUGGGAGAGGAGCGCGGAAUUCCCGGUGUAGCGGUGAAAUGCGUAGAGAUCGGGAGGAAGGCCGGUGGCGAAGGCGGCGCUCUGGAACAUUUCUGACGCUGAGGCUCGAAAGCGUGGGGAGCAAACAGG
rnacentral:rRNA from 1 species